AAGAAUUUUUUUUUCUCUUUUCCUUCAAAACCCAAAUGUUAGCCUUUCUUUUUGUUAUCCACUUUCUUGUUUAUUCCGUUCGAUUUACUGAGACCAGACGAAGGAAAAUUUGAUUCUUGCUUUGAGAUUUUGCUGAUCCAUUCUUGGAACACCAGUUACAAUUCAGAGUACGAGAGGAGCUUGCAGCAGCAAGCAGGGCAGAGCUUACGGCAGGCUUUUAGCGCGCCAAAAGUUAAUAUUUUGUUGUUCAUAAUAUUGAUAUCACGGGGAUGGAUCUGGGUAGUCUUAUGUUGCUUCUGAACCCUGUUUUUGUUAUAUUUUGUUGUUCAUAAAAAUAUGGGAAUCGUCUUGCUGGGUAGUUUAUUUUGGUGUUCUCCCAUGUCAUUUUGAUGCGUUUUUGUUGUAUAUAUGAUGGGAACUAGAAGAAAGUCUUUGUGUGGUUUGUAAGGAAAAAUUUGGUUAUGCCGACAUCGAACAGUAUGCAUUCUUUUGGGUCUACUGCAUGUAAAGCUUUUCUUGAUGUCAUUUCAAAGGUGCUGGCAUGUUUUCCUUUAUGUAAUAUUAAUUCUCGGUUUCAGUUCUUUCUAA